rnacentral:snRNA from 1 species
AUCGCUUCUCGGCCUUUUGGCUAAGAUCAAGUGUAGAAAUGUAGUGAGACAAUGUGGUCCUUGUUUUCCUUGACGUUUUUUCAGAGAUCUAGGCUACACCAAACAAUUUAUUUGAAUGUAUAAACCUAUUCUCUUUUAAUUUCUCUAA